GGGGGUGUACAGGUUUCGACGGGGGUGUUGAAGCCGGAGAAGCGAGCCGCAGUCUCCCAGUCUGCGUUAAAAAGGGAAACUUAAAAAUAAACGCAAAAAACAAUAGAAGUUUAGCGGUAGCAGCUUAAUUCAGCUGCGCUUGUCGGCCUCGGCUCACCUGUAGGCGGAGAUCAGCGGCAUAAUAUAUACAGGAAAACUUCGUGUGAAUGCCCGGCAGCACGGGGGAACGACGGGAUAGCUGACGAUAUAGCCUGCCUGUAGGCGAUGUCUGAAGCGAAACUUAAAAUACAGGCUGCGCUCGGAGACGCUUCUGUGGAUAUGCUUUCGGACAUGGGUUCGAUUCCCAUCACCUUCACCA
rnacentral:tmRNA from 1 species